AAAUUGUCCCCAAUGUCUGCUUCAAAUUGGAUGGCACUGCAGCUGGAGGCUUUGUUCAGAAUUGAUCCUGGGGAGCUACGAACCCAAAGUUUCACAGUAGGAAGGGGGAAAAAAGAAAAGAAAACAUUUUUCCUAAUGUAACAAUGCGAAUGCUAGAAAAUGACAAGACUGAUCGGUUUUAAACCAUUCUGAAGACUGACUGAGCGUGGAAGUUGCUCAACAAAAAAGGGAACGGGGAUAUUGAACCAGAGAGAAACCUACGCCCAGAAGAACAUGUCCCUGGAUUGCUUUCCCACUGCUGUGGAGUGUCUUGAACACUGGUCCCUGGACACCAACUUCAAGAAGACUUCAUGGAUGGCUGUCCAGUCUUAUGAGCCACAGUUUCCCCUCUACAUUUUCUUCACUCCAGCGAGGCUCUUAUCAGGGUCAGAUCAGAGAUGAACCAGCUGGACGACAGAUUGGAGCGCUGACCUCUUAGAGUGCUAACAGUGAACAGUGUGGGGUCAGAUCUAUAGAAAGAUAAUAAUAAGAAAACACCCUAUAUGCAAGGGAGAGGGAUGGUUCAUAAUUUCUUAAAGAUUGAAAUCAAGGAACAAUCAAAAUAUAGAAGAAUGUGGACGUGUUUUGCUGCAGGACUUCUGUUUUGUCCCCAUUGGAAUAUGUAUUAUGGUAUUCCUGUUGGAUCAGGACUCAGGGGCAAGGCUAAGCAUUCCAGUGGUCCUCCUACUUAGCUCUUGUCCUUUCGUAAGAAACACCAACUCAUUAGUCUCUAUAUUACUUCUCUGUACUGUAGAUCUGCAUUCUUGAUCUGAGAGAUAUUGGCAAUGACACUCUUGUAUGAUAAAGCUCAAUGAUAAGAGUACUUCAAACCCCCUUGAACUUUUUGUUUAUACAUCAAGUGGUGACAUUGUGUAUUGAGCUAAUUAGAUCAAUGGAGUCACAGGGUGAUACUGAACUCUUUUAAAAUAUUUGGCUGAAACAUGACAUUGUAGUUAUUUGUAGAAGAGAACAUUAUGGAAUAUGAAAAACAUCACAGAACACAGAACUAGCAGCAGAAACUAGCAGCAGAUUUCCACACAAGAUCUCCAUGACAAAUCUCAACAAAUAUUGGCCUGUGUUGUUGAUGGAAUUGCACCACCUCCCAAUUCAUGUAUUGCUGUCCUACCCCUCCCGCCUGAUCACGUGAUUGUACCUGGAGCAAGGGCCUUUAAAGAGCUAACAACGUUGAAAAUCAGCUCACCAGGGUGGGUCCUAAGCCAAUAUGAUUAUGAAUGGGAACUUUGAACACAGAAUAUACAGAGGAAAGACUCUGUGAAGACUCAAAGUAAAAACAGCAACCUAUGAGCAAAGGAAUGAAGACUCAGAAAAUCAAUACUUUGAUUGGAGGAAUUAUGCCUAAAAGUUUUGAGAAUUGUGAGAACAUUUCUGUUAUUUCAGCCUCCCAAUUCGUACACUUGCUCAUUGAUGCUGGGCUUAUGAGUUAACACAACUAGGCAUGAAAAGAAUCAUGGACUGGGUUAUAGCUCAGUGGUAGAGUACUUACCUAGCAUGUACAAGGACCUGGGUUCGAUACUCUGUAACAACAGAAUAUUAAGAUUGGCUUAAAACUGUGUCAUGGCCAAUCUUCAUUGUCAUCUUGACAGGAUUUGGAAGCACUCCAAGGACACAACUUCGGUAUGGUAUGUCUGCAAAUGUGUUUCUAGAGAAGCUUAGGGGAGGGAGAGGGCUUACUCACCUUGACUCUGAGUGGACCAUUCCAUGGGCUAUAGUUUUAUAUUGAGUAAAAGGGGGGGAAAAGAAACCAAGAACACCAAUAUUUAUUUCUUACAGAUUCUUCACCUCAGACAAAAUGUGACCCACUUUAUGACUCCCCUGUUGCCUCCCAUGAUCGACUUAAUCCUGAAAGUUUUAGCCAAGACAACCCCUCCUUAUUUUCUUUUUGUCAUUUAUUUAAUCAUACCAAUAGAAAAAUAAUUACAUAAGGGUGAAUUAAAUUUUAGCCCAGGUUCCACAUCAGGCACCUUAAUCUGGCGUUUUCAAUGGUAUAGGUUAACUUUUGUCUUGUUUGUUUGUUUCUAAGGAUUGCUUUUCUAAUUGUCAAAUGAAUUUUGUUUCUUUUGUUGAUAUUCAUUUAGCAGCUGGGGCUCCAAUGCUCCAAACUCAGAUAAAACUUCUUUUCAAAUUCCGUUAGUAACCUGUUAUAUUUGUGCUGCAUAAUGGCUGUGUAGAGAUCCAAAAAUUGCCUCUGCUCCCAACCUCAUGCAUCUCAAAUAGAGAACAAGGGUGUCAAUUUAUCCUGGCUAUUUCAAUCUCUGAUUCCAAUGCAAAUUACUAUCCUACUGGUUCAAGCUCUUGUCUUCUUGCCUUGGCUAUUCUAAAGACUUCUAAUUAAUAUUCCAUAAUCUCUGUCUCUUAAUUCAUACAGAGUGUACCCUGAUUAUUGCCUCAAAAUGUCUAAUUAUAUAACUUUCAUCUUUGGUGAUUUCAUUAUUUAAAUAAUAAAGGUCUAAUUGUUUAACA
rnacentral:lncRNA from 1 species